rnacentral:rRNA from 1 species
UACGUAGGGUGCAAGCGUUGUCCGGAAUUAUUGGGCGUAAAGAGCUCGUAGGCGGUCAGUCGCGUCUGCUGUGAAAACUCGGGGCUUAACUCCGGGCCUGCAGUGGGUACGGGCUGACUAGAGUGCGGUAGGGGAGACUGGAAUUCCUGGUGUAGCGGUGAAAUGCGCAGAUAUCAGGAGGAACACCGGUGGCGAAGGCGGGUCUCUGGGCCGAUAUCGACGCUGAGGAGCGAAAGCGUGGGGAGCGAACAGG